rnacentral:rRNA from 1 species
UUGAACGCUGGCGGCCGGCCUUACACCUGCCAGUCGAGCGGAUGACGGGAGCUUGCUCCUGGAUUCAGCGGCGGCCGGGUGGGUAAUGCCUAGGAAUCUGCCUGGUAGUGGGGGAUAACGUCCGGAAACGGGCGCUAAUACCGCAUACGUCCUGAGGGAGAAAGUGGGGGAUCUUCGGACCUCACGCUAUCAGAUGAGCCUAGGUCGGAUUAGCUAGUUGGUGGGGUAAAGGCCUACCAAGGCGACGAUCCGUAACUGGUCUGAGAGGAUGAUCAGUCACACUGGAACUGAGACACGGUCCAGACUUCUACGAGAGGCAGCAGUGGGAAAUAGUGGACAAUGGGCGAACGUCUGAUACAGCCAUGCCGCGUGUGAAGAAGGUCUUCGGAUUGUAAAGCACUUUAAGUUGGGAGGAAGGGCAGUAAGUUAAUACCUUGCUGUUUUGACGUUACCAACAGAAUAAGCACCGGCUAACUUCGUG